AUUAUUUCAAGCAUUGCAGAAGCUGUCUCCAUGUCCUUUAGGUGACAAAGCCUAUGAGGACUCUGGAUUACUUGGAAUAAAGAAAGACAAGGAAGAGAAAGCUAAAUAACAGACUGAAAAGAGGAGAAAAACUAACCUAAAAUUCCACCGAUGGAUUGCAUCAUGUAUGUAUGUAUAUAUACACGUAUGUGUGUAUGAGUUUAUGUGCAUGAGUAUAUUUUAUGUGUGUGUGUAUUUAUACACACAUAUACACACUAAGAGAAGAAUGAGUGAAUUUGAGAAAAACAGACUUUGUUAAGGUGAUAGAAGAAUGAGCACUUACAUUUGAGUUCAGAGCUUUGCUUUAAAAGUAGGCUUAAAUGUCUGAUUACUGUUCUAUAAUACUAAAUCCUGUGGUAUAAUGAAAACAAAAUACAUCAUAGUAUAACAGAAAGAUUACUCAACUUAGUGCCCCAAGUUCUAAAACCUAGCUUGCCCUAAAAUCUAUUAGAAGAUGACCUCCUCAAUCAAUAAAUCUAUACUAGAAGUGACCUUUACAUUAUUACUAUAGAAAACUGUUGCAGAGUCCUAAAUAAGAAAUUAAUCUGAUCAUAAAUAAGACACUUAAAUGCUCAUUUUAAAGAUUCUACUUAGUAUUAGGAACUAAAUAAAAACUAGUAGUAAGAGACAAAACUUACAUAUAUUAUUAUAUAUUGUGCUAUGCCAUCAUGCUACAUAUUAUACUAUGCUAUAUUAUACUACAUAUUAUGCUAUAAUUGUCUCUGCAUUUCAUUUUGUUAAUCGGUAAAAGAUAAAUAACAUAUUAUCUACCCACAUCAAAUAAUGAAAUGCAUUUCCUUAAUGAGGUAUAAAAGGGAGGCCAGUGAUAAUUUCCAGCUUUACCAAAUAGAAUUAGUCCUGGCUACUUUGCAUAGUAGGUAUGUAUAUAUGUUGGCCAUUGAAGAUGCUGUCUCUGAUAUUCUCACAGAGGAUGUCUGGUGUCAAUUUUAAAAUAUUUGUUUAGAAGAACUAAUGUUUUAAUAUUCAUUUUUGCCUCCUGUUGGUAGACUAAGUUUAAUUUCCAAUGAAAGUCAAAGCAGACUCCUUAAAUAAUCUUUUUAAGCAGCAUUUAUCUAUGCUAAAGUGCCUGAAACUAAUUUCUCAGUUUUUGUGUAGGGAGAAAAAAUGUUAUAGCUCUAUUAUUCAAAGUUUAUGUUCUGUUAUAAAAUUGUUGGUUAUUAAAAUCACUUUGAAGCAAAAUUAUCUUCUCAUAUAUCUAAUUAUUUGAUACUUCAUCUAUCUAGUUGAAAUUUAUUUUUGAUGCAUACUCUAAUUGCUCUAUAGUAAAUUUUGGGUUUCUUCCCAGCUACUGUCUUUCUUUUCUUGUAAAACCAUGCUGUUGACCUUUGUAAAUACAGGAAUCACUUUCAGUGUAUUACUACACUGAUUUGAUCUCUUUCAUUUAUUUCCUUGGUAUAUUGUAAUUAAUGUCUUUGGGUGUUUUCUAAAUAAGAUUUCACUUGGAUGGUCCAGAUCUAAAUGCUUAUGUUCAUGAAGAAAUAUUAUUUUUAGAGUUGUUUCUAAUUUUCAUUUCAUUUUCCCCUCCUUUGACCAGAAUUCCCAAUACUAAGACCCUCUCACCUAGGACCUACCCUGGAUUCACCUGCCCCCUUGUGGUGUUCCUCUCUGAAUAGUUAAUUGAUUUCUGAAAUUGGACUUGAUGUUACAUAUCCUGAGAAGAGAAAUCUCAUUCCAUUACUCUUGUCUAGCAGUGUAGGGUCAGAAAAGUUUUCUUCUCUUAGCCACUGGCUAACACAAAAAGAGAAAAGAAGUGUUGUGGGGUUUUUUUUUAUAUUACAUAUUUUGGGGUUUUUUGUUUUAAAUUCAGAGCACAAGAAGGAAAUUGGGCAAGAAAUAAGUAGAUUGGAAUAAAUGAUGAAAAUUAAUUUUGCCUAAAAUCAAUAUUAGUGACCUGAAGAUCGAUAAGGUAAAGACAUGUUUCAAAACUUAUCAUAAAGCAACUUAAAAUCAAGUUCUUUCUAUGUCCAUGUCUCCUUUUUCACUGAGUGGAGGAAGAAGGGAGAAUGCUAUCCUGUUUUAUUUAAAUGUUAAAUAGAUUUCAUAAGCCUUUCAUCAAUGAUGAAUUCAUAAAUAUAAAAAAUAGAUUAAACCUCAUGUCCUGUGUAGUUAGAUAUGUCUGAUAUGAUUGACGCGAAUACAUUUUUGUUUCCCUUUCCCAAAAAGGAAUCCCUUCACAUGCCUCAGGACCAAUGUUUACAUCUUCAGUUGAAGUCAAUAGAAUUUGCACAUGGAAGAGGGCUAUAUGGGGUCAAUGGAUAAAUUACCUAGUCACAAAUUCAGAGACAUUUUGUAAGAAUAAGGACUUAAGAAUUAAGCUACUAGUUAAUAAAGAAUAAUAUCAAGAUAAAAGAAAGGGAAAAGGAAAGAGAAGUAUUUACAUAAUGAAUUUGUCUUUCUUAACAGGAAGAGAUGGAUUAAUAAAUUAUUAUUAACAAGUACAUUUUUAAAUAUAUCAUUUUCUUUUAACUGUAAAUAUUUCUAGUAGAAAAGAGUUGUUUCUUUCUAUGCUGAUCUGCCUCCCACCCCCACUCCCCACCAAAGCUUGAUUUGAUUGAAUAAUAGUGAUCCGUCGUGGCAGUUUAAACUUCACAGCGCCUCCCUUGAGAUCUGGAAGGAACAGUACGCAGGCUUUAAUAAAGCUAUAUGUAGUCCAACUGCCAAGUUUCUAGCACCCACCGCUCCUUUGCAGUUUCUCUUCUAUUUGUAACAGUUGACCUACUAACAGGUUCCCAGAAACACAGGUUCAGAUUUUGGCAGGCUUACCUCACCUCUUUGUCCUUCCAAAGUACAUAAAUGCUAAACUGUGUUCACAGUGAGGAAGGGAGAGUCAUUCCAAUGAGACUUUUAAAAAUCAAGACCCUUUCUGCUCCCCACCAAGUUACUGCCAUCCUCUCCAAAGGAAUCAAGUUUUUGUCAGUGUGCCCUUGGCAUAAUUUCUUCAGCCUGGAUUAAACACAGGUGACUGAGAGUCUACCUUAUCUUCACAGGGCAUUAGUCACUCUAUAAAAGUUAAAUUUAUUAUGAAAUACUUUGUUUGUGUUAACAUAUAUCUUCUCUGGGAAGUUGGAAACAAAGGCAUGUCCUUUAAGACUCCAUAUGGGGAAAACACAUCCUCCUUUGGAAUUUAACCUUAAUUUGAACCAAGAUCUGUGAAAGAAAAGCACUUUAGUGUAUUGUUCCCCUGCUCCACCCAUCUAUCCCUUAUCUAAAUGGGGUUACUGUUGCUUCGUGUUUUUUAACUCUUCUCGUUCCAAAUCUUGCUUUCCUGAGUUUAAAAUUUAUCUCAGUAGAGAAAUGUAUUAAAAUAAUUGUGGCAAACAGUUGUGCUUUGCUUUUAAGGAUAAGUGAUUUUAUGUAACAUGUUAAUUCUGAUCUUUAAAAUUAAACGUAUAGCCAGUUUAUACUCACAUACGUUGUUUUAACAAAUGGUGAAUUUUAAAGAAUAUUUUAUUCCCUAAAAGAUUUAUUUCCUGAAAAUCCUCUCUCAGAUUCUCUUACUGGCAUUGUCAUGUAGGCAUAGUUUCUACUUGAUUAGAAGUUAAAAACAAUUAGAAGAAAGGUUUACAUUAAGAAUGAUGAUGAGGUAUAUUUGAAAGACCAAUUUUCAAGACUUCUGAUUUCCUUCAGUCUGUUUGCAAAAUCUUUGUAAUGCUUUCACUGUAUCUCAGUCCAUAGACGGCCCAAUUUUCCAAUAUAAAAGCAAAAGCAAAGCUUUCAUUGCAGCUACCCUCAUCAUAACAGACUACGUGUUUAUAAACAUCAAGGAAACUAUUUCCAAAAAAUAAUAUUUAAGUUGACAUUUAAAAAAUACUGUGUGUGUGAGUGCUUAGUUUCUUUCAUUUAAUAACAUCUACCAACAAACUUGUAAUUAUCCAAAUGAUUUUCCUUCAUUGACUUAUGUUACACUAAGGAAAAAUCACAAACUAAAUUUGAAUAUAAACUUAGAUUUUUAUUUAUUAAAAGAACACAAUUUCAAAAUGGACACAUACAGAGACUCAGUGGGUUGAGCUUCCAACUCUUGACUUCAGCUCAGGUCAUGAUCCUAGAGUCAUGCCCCAAGUCAGGCCCCACAUUGAGCAUGUAGCCUGCUUAUGAUUCUCUCUUCCUCUGACCUUCUCGCCCGCUUGUGCGGUCUUCUCUCUCUCUAGAAUAAAAUAAAAUAAAAUAAAAAUUGAAGCAUCCUUACUGACCAUGAACUGUAUUACUAGACAAGACUUUGUUAGAUGAACUUAGAAAUAAUUUAAAAAUACCAUAAAUUCCAUGGAAAUUAUUUAUUUUUAUUAAUUUUUAUUUACCUUUAGAACUCCAACACUAACUAGAACAUAUGGAACAUAGAAGACACUUAAAAGUAUUUAAUUCAAAAUACUACUUACCUAAAGAAAUCACAAUAUGACACAGUCACAAGAAGUAUGGAUAACAGACUGUAGCCACAGGUGAGGGUUAGGGGAUAAGAGAAUCAAUUGUAAAACCUCUAAGCCUUAUUAAUAUAUUAAUCAUUUAAUGACAACACUUAAGUUACAGUACAAGUGAAGGCGGAAGUAAUGUUCUCAGAAGAAAUGUUUCUAUGCCAGUUAUAUUUGGAAGUCUUCAGUAUUUUUCUAAAAGUAUAUCCUAAUGAGAGGAUUGAAAGAGAUACUAGAGAGGGUUUUAUUGUUUGUAUUUAUCAGUAAUCCAGACAACACCAUCCCAGUGCUAAGGAUACGAAGUUGACUGGAAAUCACAGUCCAGAGGGAAUGAUGUAGCAGUAAAUGACUAUAAUACAGUGUGGGAGAUACCAUAAUAGAGGCAGGCUCAGAAUGCUUUAGCAAAACAGGUGAGAAGGCAUCUUGCCUUGCUGAUGAGAUUAAGGAAGGCUUCCCAGAGGAGAUGGUGUUUGGGUUAAGUGCCACAGGGACUAGUAAUUAAGGAGUGCAUGGUGAUUUUAACCAGAGCAAUUUCUACUCUAAUAAGAUACAAAAUCCAAAUUGCAGACAAUUAGAAGUGAAGGAAACAUAGAAAUGGAGACAGUGAGUGUAGACUGCUUUUCCCAGGAAACUACCUUCUAACUCUCCUUACUUGCUGCCUCUGAAUAGAUUUAAUAAAGAAUUUACAUAUUGCACAACACAAUUAAGUGCUGUUGCUAGUAAUAGAUUUUUUUCUGCGUGUUAGUGAAUAAAUCAUAUUCCAUUUGUACAAGCUCAGUAACAUGAACCUUCCAGCAAGAGCCUUAUCGCUUGACAGAGGAUCAGAGCUACACCUUUCAUUGUCAGUGUCUUUGAUCCCCAAUUCUUCUCUUCCCCCUUUCUAUUCUGGACCUUCACAGUCUCAGUUGCCAAGUAUACCUGGAUGAAACUUUCUCUUUCCUCCCUGUCUUCUUCCAUCUUUCUCAUAAUUUCUCUUUGUACCUCUAACCAUAUAUCCUCAUGUGAUCCAAAUAGUUUAGUAUCUAUACUAUUAUAGAUAGUAAUGUAGUAUACUAUAUUACUAUAGUAAUAGUAUAUAUUAUAGUAUAUAUAUAAUAUAUAGAUAUAGUAUAGUAUAUAGUAUAUAUAGAUAGUAAUAUAGAUAUAGUAUCUAUACUAUAUUAGCAUCUUUCUGAUGCUAAGUAUUACUUACUGAAUACACUUCCAAAUUUCUUAGAGCAUUCAAGGCCCUCCAGACUUUUGUUCCAGACACCUUCUCAGCUUUAUCUUCCUGUACCCUCCUCUUUCAUACUUCAACUUCACCUUCCCCUGUAUACACCCUAAACUGUCUGGCUUCCAUUUCCUGACACUGUUAACCCCCACCUGGAAGUGCCCCCUCCCUCCAAUCUCAUGUCUAAAUCCUGUCUGACAUUUAUGGUCUUACUCACUUGUCAUAUUCCCUAUAAAUUCCUUUUUUGAUCUUCCCAAUAGUACUUUUUUUUCUCUUUUAUUUUUUAUUUUUUAAAAUUUACAUCCAAAUUAGCAUAUAGUGCAGCAGUGAUUUCAGGAGUAGAUUCCUUAAUGCCCCUUACCCAUUUAGCCCAUCCCCCCUCCCACACCCCCUCACAAACCCUCAGUUUGUUCUCCAUAUUUAUGAGUCUCUUCUGUUUCGUCCCCCUCCCUGUUUUUAUGUUAUUUUUGUUUCCCUUCCCUUAUGUUCAUCUGUUUUGUCUCUUAAAGUCCUCAUAUGAGUGAAGUCAUAUGAUUUUUGUCUUUCUCUGACUAAUUUCACUUAGCAUAAUACCCUCCAGUUCCAUCCACGUAGUUGCAAAUGGCAAGAUUUCAUUCUUUUUGAUUGCCGAGUAAUACUCCAUUGUAUAUAUAUACCACAUCUUCUUUAUCCAUUCAUCCAUCGAUGGACAUUUGGGCUCUUUCCAUACUUUGGCUAUUGUUGAUAGUGCUGCUAUAAACAUGGGGGUGCAUGUGUCCCUUCGAAACAGCACACCUGUAUCCCUUGGAUAAAUGCCUAGUAGUGCAAUUGCUGGGUCGUAGGGUAGUUCUAUUUUUAGUUUUUUGAGGAACCUCCAUACUGUUUUCCAGAGUGGCUGCACCAGCUUGCAUUCCCACCAACAAUGCAAAAGAGAUCCUCUUUCUCCNNNNNNNNNNNNNNNNNNNNNNNNNNNNNNNNNNNNNNNNNNNNNNNNNNNNNNNNNNNNNNNNNNNNAGGUGGUAUCUCAUUGUGGUUUUGAUUUGUAUUUCCCUGAUGAUGAGUGAUGUUGAGCAUUUUUUCAUGUGUCGGUUGGCCAUCUGGAUGUCUUCUUUGGAGAAGUGUCUAUUCAUGUCUUUUGCCCAUUUCUUCACUGGAUUAUUUGUUUUUUGGGUGUUGAGUUUGAUAAGUUCUUUAUAGAUUUUGGAUACUAACCCUUUAUCUGAUAUGUCAUUUGCAAAUAUCUUCUCCCAUUCUGUCGGUUGCCUUUUAGUUUUGCUGAUUGUUUCCUUUGCUGUGCAGAAGCUUUUUAUUUUGAUGAGGUCCCAGUAGUUCAUUUUUGCUUUUGUUUCCCUUGCCUCCAGAGAUGUGUUGAGUAAGAAGUUGCUGCAGCCAAGAUCAAAGAGGUUUUUGCCUGCUUUCUCCUCCAGGAUUUUGAUGGCUUCCUGACUUACAUUUAGGUCUUUCAUCCAUUUUGAGUUUAUUUUUGUGUAUGGUGUAAGAAAGUUGUCCAGGUUCAUUCUUCUGCAUGUCGUUGUCCAGUUUUCCCAGCAUCAUUUGCUGAAGAGACUGUCUUUAUUCCAUUGGAUAUUCUUUCCUGCUUUGUCAAAGAUGAGUUGGCCAUACGUUUGUGGGUCCAUAUCUGGGUUCUCUAUUCUGUUCCAUUGAUCUGAGUGUCUGUUCUUGUGCCAGUACCAUACUGUCUUGAUGAUUACAGCUUUGUAGUAUAGCUUGAAGUCUGGGAUUGUGAUGCCUCCCCAAUAUUACUUUUAUUCUCCAUCUCAGUUUUUUAUGUGUCUCUAUGCCAUUCAUUUAUUCAGCAAAACUUUACUGAGUACCUACUAUAUGCCAGAAACCAAAAUGACCAUUUUCUACUUUUUUUUCCCCACAGUUGACUAACUAUUUUAUCUCACCACUCCUAUCACGCUAAAUUCUUUAAGAUCAAGAAUCAUCUAAUAUAGCUCUGGAAGUAUCUAUUACAAUGCUUUCCACUAGUAAUUGUACGAGUGUGUUGAUUUCAUUUAUUAAUGAAUAAAUUAAUCUCAAAUGGAGAUCCAUCCUCUGAAAUUCAGUGAAACAAAGAUAGCACUCAAAUCUUUUAUUCUCCCUGCCAUGAAGUUCUCUCCUAUCAUUGUCUGCAAGAAUACAGUUUGUCACUUCCUCAGUUUAACUGUCUUAUGGCACUUAACAAAAUGGUAUUUGGCUUCCUUGUAUUUGUUCUCUUAAAUUCUUCCCUAUCUUCAGCUCCAUAUAUUCCACUGAAAGAUACCAAGAGUUGUAAUAUUAAUCAAGUCCCUCCACUUUACCUCCAUGACGACCUCACUUAUGGUAUGGUGACCAUGCUACAAUUUCCUUCUUAAAAGGGUCGUUCAACUCCAGUUUCCUUCUUUUGACCUAUCCUACAUAAGUUAGCUUUGAAUUUAGACUCAGAUUGUAUUUGUUUUCAAAUCUUUCCUCUUUCUGUAGCCAUUACAAAAACUGUUUAAUACUAACACACUUCCAUUUCUUCCCUGAUCUUCCAUCUUCUUGCUAUUUGGCAACAAUCUUAGUUUAAAAUGCGCUUCACUUCUAGAACAUUCUACCUCUUCACUCUCAUCAGCACAGUUUACUUACUGUAUCACUCCAGCUAUCUUUAACACAGCUUAAAACCUGUUUUUAAGGGAGUUUUUAAAAAUUAACCUAGAUUUGUGUGUCACUAGAUUCUCUAUAUAUUGUUCAAUCACUAAAGUAAUUGAAACAAAUUUUAUCCUUCUCUAUGAGUCCUCUGCUAAAGACAUUACCUAAUCCAAAUAGAGUAAUAUUCAAUAUGAAUCCCAUACACUGAUCUGUAUUUUAAAUGUAAAGUUUUGCUUUUCAUGAUGGUGUUAAUCUGUGGUUUUCUGCCCUUUAAGUAGAACAAAUAUAAUAAAUAGUGCCAAGAUACUCAACUCUGCUAGAAUUACAAUAUAUAAGCAAAUGAUCUUUAUUGACUAAUUAACCAAAUACAGAAAAAUUAAUGCUAGCAUAACAUGACUUCAAACAUAUUCCAGUUCCUAAAAUAUGGGUAAGAGACUGAAUGUGAGGCUUGAAUGCAAGAAUUACCAAGAUUUGAUGGUCAGCGACUAGGGUUUAGAAUAUAAUAAGGAAAAGUCUUCUUCUUCCAACUAUAACAGAGUUGCUAAAAUCUGAUUAAUUCACUCACUGAGAAUAACUAUAAAACUUGGACAAAAUACUUUACUAAAAAUAUAAAGAACUAAGAAGAGACUUUGUCAGUUCCAUGAUGCUGGGGAGACAAAAAUUGGAGGGCAAUUCUCACCAAAGAGCAGAGACUCAGCUUUGGGGUCAGACCUAGGGAAAGCUAUUCCAUAGGAGUAAAGAUACAUUGUAAAUAGAACAGCUUCAACUAUAUCAAGGUGAUCUUCCCAAAUUCACAUACGCCUAAGAUACUCACCAAUACAAGAUGGAAUUUGGAGGAAGGAUGGGGAAUUUGCCUGUGCUCUAGACCCUGCACUGAAUAGGAGGCUGCCUGCCACUGGAGGAGAUGUCUGGGGCCUGCCUAAGACCAAGAUGGGAGCUGGAGAGCUGAGUAACCCUCCCUGACCCACUGUGAGCCUUGCAUCUAAUAGCAGGUAACAGCCAUGUACUUCUGGGGGGAAUAAAAAUAUAGAAAUAGACUCUGUCUAUGCUGCAGGCAUUGAUAGCCUGCUGAAAUCUGAGGGUGGAACAGAGAAACUGAGAAAAGAAAGAAAGAAAAAAGGAAGGAAGGAAGGAAAGAAGAAAAAAGAAAAGAAAGAAUGAAACAAAGAAAGAAAGAAAAAAAAAGAAAAGAAAAGAAAAAAAAAGAAAGAGAAAAAAACACUUCCAGCUCUCUAGGCCUCACAUUGAAUACAAGUUGUGGUAAUCCAGCCCGUCCCUGGAAAAACUUUAAAUCUGUGGUACACUAAAGACAACUAUAGCAAUCACAAACCCCAGCUCACCUCAAGUGCUUACUAAAUUCACUCCAAUGCCCACACUCAUGGCCUGACAAAAGAGAUAUUCCCAUUUUGGGCAUGUACCUCAGUUUCAAUUGCUCUUUUAUAUAUCAUAUUUGACAUUUAAUUUAUUUAUUUUUUUUUUAAUUUUUUUUUUCAACGUUUAUUUAUUUUUGGGACAGAGAGAGACAGAGCAUGAACGGGGGAGGGGCAGAGAGAGAGGGAGACACAGAAUCGGAAACAGGCUCCAGGCUCCGAGCCAUCAGCCCAGAGCCUGACGCGGGGCUCGAACUCACGGACCACGAGAUCGUGACCUGGCUGAAGUCAGACGCCCAACCGACUGCGCCACCCAGGCGCCCCUUGACAUUUAAUUUAAAAAAAAGAAGAAAAAAAAAAAAAGACACACUGGAAAAGACACCAAGAAAACCAUGUGAAAAGAUAAAAUAGUCAAUAGAAUCAGACCCAGAGAUGACCCAGAUGUUGGAAUUAUCAGACUUUGAUAAGAGAAGAAUAAAAAGACAUAUUAAUUUAAAAAUAGUAACAAUAAGAUUGUUAACUUCUCAGAAUAAUAGAAAAUAGAAUAAAAUGAAAAAAAAUGAAAUUAAAAAAAUAAAACUUCAAAGUGCUGAAAGUAAAAAAAUCAACAACCUAGAAUUAAAUGCCCAGGGGAAAAUAAAUGAGAGAAUAUCAUAAGCAAAGCUCAACUAAAAGAAAUCCUUUGGGGUGCCUGGGUGACCCGGUCACUUAAAUAUCCAGCUCUUGGUUUUGGCUCAGGUUAUGAUCUUACAGUUUGUGGGUUCGAGCUCUGCAUCAGGUUCCACACUUGCAGUGUGGAGCCUACAUUCUCUCUCUCUCUCCUUCUCUCUCUCCUCUCUCUCUCUCUCAAAAUAAUAUUUUAUUAUUUGUUAUAUUGAACAGUAAUCUAUCUUCUUGAAUUUCAACCUCCUGACCCUAAUUCUUCCCUCUACAAUUACACACAAAUAAUUCUAAUUUCUCUCACGUAUGCUUGAAAUAUUAUAGUACCCUCCAAUGCAACAGAAAUGUUUUAUUCUGUAGCCAAACAUCCCCAAUUUAAACCGUCCUUUGCAAGAUGUGGUCCAGUACUUCUCUAACCCAGAAUCUUCUAAAUGUACCUCACUUUCUUCAUAUUUCUUAAAUAGAUCCCAACACAUGAAACAGAGUCUUGUAGAAGCAUCUGGGUGGCUAGGUUGGUUGAGUGCCCAAGUCUUGAUUUCGUCUCAGGUCAUGAUCCCAGGGUUGUGGGACCAAGCCUCACAUGGUCCACUCAGUGUGGAGCCUGCUUAAUAUUCACUUUCUCUCUCUCUCUCUCUCUCUCUCUCUCUCUCUCCCUCUCCCUCUCCCUCUCCCUCUCUCCCUUUUCCUCUCUCUCACUCUCCCUUUGCCCCUUCCCCCCGCUCACACACUCUGUCUUUAAAAUAGUAAUCCAAGGCAUUCUUGCUUUCCCUACUCCAUGUAUGCAGCAAUGACAUUUAUCUUUUUUAAGGGGAGAAAAUCAUGCUAUUUAUUCAUAUGUAAUUCCUAAUUUUACUUCUGUGAAAGCUCUGGCUUCAAGAGGUUAGGAUUUAUUUUUGUUCACUUAAAGCUAUUGCUCAGAAAUAUUAGGCUAGGAAUAGUGUACAAACAAGACUUGGACAACAAGAUUCUGGAGGCUAUUUUAACAGAUAGUGCACAGUAAUAUGGGCUAAAAUUGUGACCUUUGGGAUGUCAAAGAAGGAAAGAUUGGGAUAGUGGGUGUAUUGAUACGGCAGACUAAUUUUAGGUGGACGGGCAAUAAGAGGGCAAUAAUGAGUCAGUGAUGACUACGACUUUUCAAGCCUUAGUAGCAAAGAGAAUGAGAAAAAUAUGGAAGUCAGGAGGCAUGCCUUGUUACAGGGAGACAUGUGUUGCUCUAAUUUAAAUUUAUUGAAUACUUGUAGAGAGGUAUAGAAAUAAGAUGGGGGAUUUUGUGGAGGACAGGAAUGGACUUUUAGCUUCAUACAUGAUAGCACAAGCCAUAAGACAAAGGAACAAAGGGCCUAUCAAUGUCCUCUAGCCAAAGACCAUCAGGAACAUAGUAUGAUUGAACAAAUUGGCUUUCUUACUUGUUUGCAAACAAGACCACACACGAUAGGGGAUCACAUGGCAUUUCAGUAACUUAUUAUAAGAUAGGGGCUCAUGAUAGAUAUUUUGGGGGAAGAUUCAAGAAAGUACGACUUUGAAUUGGCUACUGUCAGGAUAUAAGGGUAAUUCUGUCAUUGGGUAUCUCAAGAAAUCUUAUUUAGAAAGAGGGAAGACUAGAACAAAGCUAAAGCUAUCAUUUGUAAAGAAGCAACAGUUACUAGUAUUAGCAAGCAUGAGGAUUGUUUGCUAUCUUUGUGGUUUGCAGUGACUUUAUUUUUGUCUGUACUGGGACAAAAUUACAAAGUGGUCUUUUUGUCUCUCCUAUCAUUAGAGUGUCCUUGUCUAAAGUUGGUGUUUAGUAAAAAUAGUUUUUGUAUCGCAGGAGAAUACCUAGGCCUACCUGUGAAUGCCAGGCCAACUCCUAAAAACACCAUAGCCUAGCUGGGAGCGUCAAGCCAUUUUCCAAAUGUUAGGGGUUGUUUUUGUCUCUCAGAUCAAUGGACUUAGCCUUGGGGAACUACAGUGGAAGCUGGAACAGACACAAAGAUAUUUAUAGAGAUAGAGAAGCAGUCCUGAGGAAGUGGAGAGUGAGGAAAGGCUAGUGCCAGGAGGUCCUUGGUGGGAGCGUGGUCACUAUGGCUAAGAAUAUUCAGAACUGUUUGAGACUCUGGGUGUGGGGAAAUGAAGUAAAAACAUCAUUGAAUCAAGGUAUCACUGAUGAUCUUCAGGGCAGAAGGUUUUUGGGUGUUUGUUUGUUUGUUUGUUUGUUUCAAGACAAGGGGCCACAGAUCAAAUUGCAGGGCUAUGGAGAAAUAGAUACUGUGGGUGAAGACCACUCAUUUGAAAAUUUUGGCAGUGAAAAGAGCAAGAGAAUAUGAACUAGAAAAUUUUGUGAAAUCAAAUUUUCCCACGAAAAUGGAGGUAACCAUUACAUGUUUGAAGCUGAGGAGAAGGAACCAUUGGAAACAGCAACAGUGGAGAUGGUAGUAAAGCAGUAAAAAACAAAAAAAAAAAACAAAACAAAACAAAAAAACAAGAGAAGGGUCUGAGACAAGAACCUCAGGACUCCUUGGCAUCCUGGACUAGUAGAAGAGAACAUACUGGUACAGAAAUAGACAUGUUGAGUUGGGGUACAGGGUAGACGAAGGAAUGGAUGACAGGUAAAAUGGGCUUUUUCUCUUUUUCUUUUUCAGGGAAGUUAGAAACUAAGAUCAUCAACAAAGGGGAAAGGGAGAUGCAAAAGUCUGGAGGAGGUUUAAGUCAUCUGCUAAGAAGUUGUUUAGUAAAUCAACAAAAGAUACUGGUUUCUAUUAAGUCAUCUCUUUUAUUAAAGAAGAAAAUAUAACUGUUGCUGUAUAUUAUUAAUUUAUGGAGGAUUAGAAGCAAGAGCCCUUCUCUUCUCAAAAGCCGGGGGUGGAGUAGGGGGGAUGGUCGCCAUAUUUUUACAUAAGAGUGGUACAAACAAACUUUCUAGAUUAACUAUUACUUUACACAUUUGUAAGUUUUAUUUUGGCUUUUGAAUACUGUAUCGCCCAGAGGGGGGAAGAAAUCUUGCUGUUUUCAAAAGCUAAAGAACAUCAACCAGAGACAAUAGCCAUCCAGAAGGCUGAAUUCCAUAGUAUCUAGAGCAAAGCAAAUUAAGGUCUCCACUCGCAGUCACAGAAGUGGACUUCCUGCUUUCCGCUGAAUUCUGCGUAUGUGUAUCUAAAUAACUAGCUGGCCUGCUCCUUCCUGGUAUUAGCUGUGAUUGAGAGAUAACUCACCCGGCGGCGGUGGCGGCGGCAGUUUUUGUGCGCGCAGUAGCACAUGCUCUUGUGAGCAUCAAAAGGAGAUGAAGCCUGAUUAACCAUUUUGAAAUCUAUCGGAUGAGGAGAAGUCCUUACAAAACAACUUUUAUACGCUUUAAUUAAAAACGUGUUCCGGCAGCUCAGAGCUGAAUGGGCUUCAGGGGGAGCAGGGCUGAGCCGGUUGCUAUGACGACACCAAAUCUUUUCACGCCUGGCCCUUCCCCAGCACACUCUGUCUAGCUCUGUCCAGCCAUUAAUUUGCCUCCAUCCCAUCUCUCACUGCCCCAAUCCCUUGGUCUGGGAGGCAAUGGAAGACCCAGUACCAUCUACCUUUCCUGCUAUGGCAUCUCUCCCUCACUCCUUUUCCCUCAUCAUUUCAUGCCUUAUAUUUCCCUGCCAAUCUCUAUUUUCUUGUUUCUCUUCAAAACAAGUUUACCCCCUGAGUUGAAAAAAAAAUUUUUUUAAUGGGAGAGGGGGGGUCACAGCAUAGUAAUUACUGCUUAUUACCCCUCAUGAUAAAUCCAGUUUUAGGGAUCUUGAGUAUAGUCAAGAAGGACCUCACUAUGUUCUACCCUUUUUUUUUUUUUCCAGGCUUAAGACUGGCUACUACACCACUCUUUCUGAUGCUGAAGAUAAAAAGGACUAUGUUUCACUCUGUUUUAAAGUUAAUUUGUGCUUAUUAAGAUCUCAGGUUAUUCCACAAACAACUGGUAUUUGUAUCAACUGGUAACAAUUGCAAGUGACCGUAAGACUUUGAAAUACUCUGAAACAUUGCAGACCUCACUUUAUGUAAGAAGGCUCUUUGAACAUUUUUAAAGUAGCACUUUUUAUACAGAGACUUAAAUAAAACCCAGUGCUAUCACUUACUGUACCAUAAUGAAACAAAAAUCGGAUGGAACUUGCCCAUCACAGAACCUAACUUGAGAGAAUCUGGUAUCUUUCAAUCUUGUAGUCAGUGCAUUUGUAGACUAUAAUAUUAUUAAACAACUUCUUAAUGUUACUCUUUGAAUCAUCAGAAGCCUUACAAC
rnacentral:lncRNA from 1 species